UGCCAGUUAGAGACUGGUACUGGUGCCAGUUAGAGACUGGUACUGGUGCCAGUUAGAGACUGGUGCUGGUGCC